UACGAAGGGGGCUAGCGUUGCUCGGAAUCACUGGGCGUAAAGCGCACGUAGGCGGCUUUUUAAGUCAGGGGUGAAAUCCCGGAGCUCAACUUCGGAACUGCCUUUGAUACAGCACGUCUUGAGUCCGGAAGAGGUGGGUGGAAUUCCUAGUGUAGAGGUGAAAUUCGUAGAUAUUAGGAAGAACACCGGUGGCGAAGGCGGCUCACUGGCCCGGAACUGACGCUGAGGUGCGAAAGCAUGGGGAGCGAACAGG
rnacentral:rRNA from 1 species